ACAAAUCUCAAGUUGCUAGAAAUUGACCAAUCAAAAUCGAUUUAUAGAAGAAUAAUACGGCUUAAGGUUUAAACUACCUAUUGUAGAUCAGGUUUAAGGCUGCACUGUUUAAAACGACUUUGAACCGCAUCAUAAUCUUGAUAACAAUUCAGAUUUUGUUAUUAUUAUUAUUAUUAUUGUUUAUAUUAUUUGAGGUUAUUUUAUUUAAAUUCGAAAUGCCAGUUGCGCAGCAAAAGGUUGUAGUAAUUCAUCAAUGAAUCGCUCACGGAGAAAGAAAAAAAGAUGUGUUAUUUUCCUCUUAAAGAGAGAUAUGCAAUUUGGAUUGCGCAUGUUGGCCAAGAGGAUUGGAAACCUACUAUACAUUCGGCAUUGUGUGGAGUGACAUCCGUUUGAUCACGUCCCGAUUGACCACUCUAGCCACUAGCCACUCACAGCGCUUGAACAGUGGAAAAAUUCUAGGCGUCAGCCCCUAUAAAUGGCUAGUGGUCAAUCGGGACGUCAACGGGGUAUCACACCAUUGUGUGAGGAACAUUUUGCUCCCGAAAUGUGAGAAAAAAACCGCGUAGAUGGUUACGUAAAUUAAAAAGGAAUGCUAUACCUACCUUGUUUCAAUACACAGGAUUGGAAACAUUUAUUGGUCCUCAAGAUAACAAUAGUUAGAAUAGUAAUUUUAUAUACAUGUGAUAUUAAUGAUGAAUAUGUUAACAUAGUGACAAUAUACAUAUUGAUAAAUCUGUUUUAAAAGAAUUGAUUAUCGAUAAUAAGAUAAACAACAUGGAAAUCUAUAUUAUCGAAGAACUGGAAAACAAUGUAAAUUUAAGUAUCAAUAAUGAUGCAAUAAGUGAUAUGAAGUCAACAAACAAAGAAGUAAAAGACAAUAAUAUAAUAAAAAAAGAAGAUUCAAAGGAAGAUUAUUAAAUUUCUCCAUCAUGUGAUAAGCUGAAUACCUACCUAUAAUAAGUGUUGUGAUUGUAAAAAAAAAUUCAAAGACUACAAAAACAUUAUGUAACAAUGUUAAAUUUACAAAGAAGGACGGAAACAAAGUUGAAAUAUGCUAUUUGUCAAAUAAAAAGACUACAAAAGAAUGUAAGUAAAAGUCAUAUUUUGAUAAAGACU